rnacentral:lncRNA from 1 species
AACUACUAACGGAAAAAACAUAGAUUUCAUGCAUUACGUACAUCUUUGUACGUUGGACAUCAUAUAUGAUAGCCUAUUGGAAAGUGAUUUAAAUUUGCAGAGCAAUCCGGAUUGUAAUCUUGAUAAAUAUAUGUCGAAAGUGAUGGACAUAACUAUACAAAGAAUAAUGAAAUUCUGGUUACAUCCAAAUAUUAUAUUUAACAAUUCAUCUAAGGGAAAACGUCUACAAGAAUGUCUUUCUCACCUUAA